rnacentral:rRNA from 1 species
ACGAACGCUGGCGGCGUGCCUAAUACAUGCAAGUCGAGCGGAGUGAUGAAGAAGCUUGCUUCUUCUGAUUUUAGCGGCGGACGGGUGAGUAACACGUGGGCAACCUACCUUGUAGAUUGGGAUAACUCCGGGAAACCGGGGCUAAUACCGAAUAAUCCAUUUUGCUUCAUGGCGAGAUGUUGAAAGACGGUUUCGGCUGUCACUACAAGAUGGGCCCGCGGCGCAUUAGCUAGUUGGUAGGGUAAUGGCCUACCAAGGCGACGAUGCGUAGCCGACCUGAGAGGGUGAUCGGCCACACUGGGACUGAGACACGGCCCAGACUCCUACGGGAGGCAGCAGUAGGGAAUCUUCCACAAUGGACGAAAGUCUGAUGGAGCAACGCCGCGUGAGUGAAGAAGGUUUUCGGAUCGUAAAACUCUGUUGUAAGGGAAGAACACGUACGAGAGUAACUGCUCGUACCUUGACGGUACCUUAUUAGAAAGCCACGGCUAACUACGUG